ensembl:lncRNA
UUAAUUUUGUUGAUCGUUUCUUUUGCCAUGCAAAAGCUUUUAGGUUUAAUUAGGUCCCAUUUGUUUAUUUUUCUUUUUAUUUCCAUUACUCUAGGUGAAGUAUCCAAAAAAUAUUGCUAUGAUUUAUGUCAAACAGUUUUCUGCCUAUAUUUUCCUCCAAGAGUUUUAUAGUGUCUGGUCUUAUAUUUAGGACUUUAACCUAUUUUGAGUUUAUUUUUGUAUAUGAUGUUAGAGAAUGUUCUAAUUUCAUUCUUUUACAUGCAGCUGUCCUGUUAUCCCAGCACCACUUAUUGAAGAGAUUGUCUUUUCUCCACUAUAUAUUCUUGCCUCCUUUGUUGUAGAUAAUUGACCAUGUGUCUGUUUUGCGACAGUACCACACUGUUCUUAAAACUGUAGCUUUGUAGUAUAGUCUGAAGCCAGGAAGCCUGAUUCCUCCAGCUCUGUACUUCUUUCUCAAGAUUAUUUUGGCUAUUCAGAGUCUUUUGUGUUUUCAUAUAAAUUAAAAAAAAUUUUGUUUUAGCUCUGUGGAAAAUGCCAUUGGUAAUUUGAUAGGGAUUCCAUCGCAUCUGUAGAUUGCUUUGGGUAAUAUGGUCAUUUUAAUAGGAUUGAUUCUUCCAAUCCAAGAGUAUAGUGUAUCUUUCCAUCUGUUUGUGUCAUCUUCAGUUUCUUUCACUAGUGUCUUACAGUGUUUGGAAUACAGGUCUUUUGCCUCCUUAGGUGGGUUUAUUCCAUUCCUAACUUUAAAAAACAUACUCUUAAUUUUAAAAAGAAUUGAUAUAAUUUUUUUAAAAAAAAGACUGUAUCUCAAGUUAAAAGCCAAUGCUGGAGUCCCCUGGGGGCUCAGUGGGUUACAGAUCUGGCAUUGUCAACUACUGUGGCUUGGGUUGCUGCUGUGGUGUGGGUUCAAUGCCAAGACUGGGAAUUUCCGCAUGCCUCAGGUGCAUGCAGGGGGGUGGGGAGGGGAAGCCAGUGCCAUGUCUAAUGGUACAAAAUCCAAAAUAUUCCCACUGAGUUAAGGACGAGGAGAGAUUGUUAGUUCAAAAGUCCCAUAAUCAUACUUUUAAGGGAUGUAUCUUAUCUCACUCUCGUAAGCACAUUUAUCUUGUUUAUAGACUUAAGAACUCUUCCAGCUAAAGGGAACUUCAAAUUAAAUUUAUAAUAUGGUUGGUAGUCUUUUAUGUACACAGCACAGCCUGUUGCGAGUUCUCGUAUAAUCAUAACCUAUAGUCAUUCAGACUGAUUUCCUAAAGCUUAGAAAAGCAUUUCACUCAAAGGGUGACGGAGGCUUGCAGUGGUUGUGUCUUUGCCCUUCCCACACAUUGUUCUGGAGCAGGAUGUGGGACGUUUUCAGCAGCAAUGCAAUCUCUGAUCUUCAUUUUGUACCGUGAGAAAAUACAAUUCUUUCUGGAAAGACCACUGCAUGUGGCACUGAUCAAAAGGGUAUUCAUGAAAAGCCAGGGCUGCCAGGGCCCAGCCUCUCUCACCGGGCUCCCAGGUAUGUCUCUGGCUGGGGAACUCAAGUUUCUGCAACGUAAGUCUAGCUGGCCUCGAGUGGGAUAGACCCAGGAAUGUGCUUGGCAUCAGAACAGGCCGAGCCGGCUGGACUUCACAGAACAGACCCGCUUCUGUGUGGUGUGAUCUGAGGAAAUAAUCCGUUUGAAUUUCCUAACUUGAGGGCAGUUGUUUUUUCAUCCUAACUGUUCAUAAUUAAGAUUUGUGUCUUUAUCAACGGGGAGGAUGGGCUGCCUGGAGCUAUCAAUAACCACCUACACACGCAUGGUUCUUAGUGUUGUCUGGGCGGCUCACUGCGGUGAAACGCAUGGGCCGCCGGCCUCCUCUGCCCUGCAGUGGCUCCUCCUCGCCAGCCUGGCUCCCUGAACAGCCCAGCUCUCUCGCUUCAGCUUUGUCGAUUUGGCCCAGGAGAAAACUCCACAUCAGUCCGUGCUCGUUGUUGAGCAGAAGGACCUUGUCCCCUGGGCAGCUCCCACCCAAUUCUUGACACCUAAGGCUCAAAAUUGCUCUUCCUUCCCUCUGGGACUCCCCACCGUUGGAAACUGGCCAGGCCACUGGGGAAGCCAGUGCAAAUUAGAGAUGCCAGUAGGGUUUUUCCUUACAUACUUCCUCUUGAUUUGCUUUUAUGCCUCGACUGUAUGAUUGAGUAAGGCAGAAACAUCGAGGUCAAGAACAUUCUGACCUCAGUCUGUCUGACCAGUUUUUUGUCCCUUUGUUUUUUUUUUUUAAUAAAGUAUAAUUUUUUUUUCCUUUUUAUGGCUGCACCUCCUGGGAACCUCUAUAUGCCGCAGGUAUGGCCCUAGAAAGACAAAAAAAAAAAAAAAAAAAAAAAAAAA